rnacentral:rRNA from 1 species
AGAGUUUGAUCAUGGCUCAGAAUGAACGCUGGCGGCGUGCUUUACACAUGCAAGUCGAGCGAGGCGGGGAGCAAUCCCCAGUCGAGCGGCGAACGGGUGAGUAACGCGUGGAUGACCUGCCCUUCAGCGGGGAAUAACCCGGGGAAACUCGGGCUAAUACCGCAUACGACCGCGAGGUGAAAGCGGGCCGCAAGGCUCGCACUGAAGGAGGGGUCCGCGUCCGAUUAGCUAGUUGGUAGGGUAAUGGCCUACCAAGGCGACGAUCGGUAGCCGGCCUGAGAGGGUGAUCGGCCACACUGGAACUGAGACACGGUCAGACUCCUACGGGAGGCAGCAGUGGGGAAUUUUGCGCAAUGGGCUAACGCCUGACGCAGCAACGCCGCGUGGAGGAUGAAGGUCUUUGGAUUGUAAACUCCUGUCAGCAGGGAAAAAGCGAAUCGGUCUAAUACGCCGGUGAGUUGAUUGUACCUGCAGAGGAAGCCCCGGCUAACUCUGUGCUAGCAGCCGCGGUAAUAC